UACGUAGGGCGCAAGCGUUAUCCGGAAUUAUUGGGCGUAAAGAGCUCGUAGGCGGCCUGUUGCGUCCGCUGUGAAAGCCCGGGGCUUAACCCCGGGUCGGCAGUGGAUACGGGCAGGCUAGAGGUAGGUAGGGGAGAAUGGAAUUCCCGGUGUAGCGGUGAAAUGCGCAGAUAUCGGGAGGAACACCGGUGGCGAAGGCGGUUCUCUGGGCCUUACCUGACGCUGAGGAGCGAAAGCGUGGGGAGCAAACAGG
rnacentral:rRNA from 1 species